AUGGUGCCCGAAGAGGCUGGGACCGAAGCAGCGUGGCCUCUCGUCACGUCCCCCGGAGGCACCCCGGGGAGCGGAGGGCUGGGCGGCCCCACGGGGAGGCGACCUGGGCUUCGUCUCCCUGCCAGGCUUGCAGGGAACCACGAGGGCUUUCGUCAGAGCCGCCCUCAGCAGGACAGGUUUUUCAGGAGGACGGGGAGAAGCGAAGCCGACAGCUCGCAGCAUAAACAGAUCUUAACAGCAGAGCAGCCGCACGGCGCCGGCGCGCUCCGGCCCCUUCCACCCCGGGCAGGUUUCGCACACCCAAACGCGGUCGAAAGCCCCGUUUCCAGCCCCUCCACCAGCCUCGAAGCCCCCCCCGUGGCUUCACCGUGGACAUUUCGGAGACCCCCGGGGGCCCGGAGCCACGCCGAGGUGCUCUGCUUCGCUCCGGAGAGGGGCAGGCGGCCGGCGGCAGCCCCGCAGACGCGUUCGGCUUCGGAGCCCCCGCGCCGGGCUGCGAGCGGAGGCGAUUUGCUCGCCGGCCACCCCGCGGCCUGCUCGAGGCAGGGAACAGCCCCUCGGAGGCACUGCGGGCACUCGGCGAACAGCAGGCGAGGCUUUGCGGCGGCGCUGCUCCCAGGCUCGGCCACGCAGAGCCCCGGGGGGGCUCCGGCCUGGGGGUCCCGCUGCCCCCGCGGGGCUCCGGCAGGGACAGGGACUCCCACCGAGCAGCGCCGUGCCCAGCGCCGUGCCCAGCGCCGUGCCGCCUUCCCGGGGCACUUUUCCAGGCAGGCUCGGCGCGUGCGUUGGGCCGCGGGCUGUUUACCCGAGCGCAGCCGUCCCCCGUUGACACUCGCCCAAGUUAUGCGCGGCGCCGCCGCCGCCAGCUCGCUGCUCCCAGCCCUGCUGCUGCUCCAUUACAGGGGGAAAAAAAAAAAUAAAAAAAUCGAAAAUCUGUGCUCUUGGAUAGCUUUUUUUUUUUUUUUCCCUUGGAAAACGAAGUCGAUUUCACAGAUGCAGCCACGAGCCCAGGCCCCGGGAGCUCCCGAGGCGCACCCAGAGCACGCGGGGCGCCCGCGGAGAGUUGGGGCCGUGCCCCGGGACGGGGGGCUCCGGGCCUGGGAGCCGCGUGGCGGGGGCCGGGUGCUCCCCUGGCGCGCCCCCGCUCCGCUUCGGUUUCUUCUCGCCACGGCCCGGAGCUGGGGCGGAGGCCAGGCGAGCUCCUUUCCUUUUGGGAGAGGCGCUCGGACGGACACGGGCUGGGAAACCGGAGCUCCCCGCGGGCCAAGGGGCGAGGGGGGCGGCGGAGGAGGGACGGCGAGGUGCCGCAGCCCCCCGGGGUGCUCUCCGAGGCGUCCCGGUGCCGGCGCGCCUGGCCCUGGCACCCCGCGAGCCGGCAGCUUCGCCCCCUGCGCGGGGGAGGCCGCCCGGUGCGCGUAA
rnacentral:lncRNA from 1 species